rnacentral:ncRNA from 1 species
GUUUUGGUCCUAGACUCACCGUUAUUUUUUACUCUACUUACACAUGCAAGUAUCCACAGACCAGUGCCCAAACCCACCAGCCUAUUACAUAUUAGACCUGGAGCUGGUAUCAGGCACGCACUAAUGCAGCCCACAACACCUAGCCUUGCCACACCCCCACGGACCUCAGCAGUGACAAACAUUAAGCAAUAAGCCUAAACUUGACUUAGCCACAGUAAUCAUGGAGCCGGUAAAUUCCGUGCCAGCCACCGCGGUUACACGGAAGGCCAAAAAUAACCACAUACGGCGUAAAACGUGACUAGAUUUAAGUUAAAUACAAGAAGUUGAAACCCAAAUUAAAGCUGUAAAAUAAUAAUAUUUAAAAGAACCCCCACUAAACUUCAUGUAUUUUAACCACUUUGACCACACGAAAGCUAGGACCCAAACUAGGAUUAGAUACCCUACUAUGCCUAGCUGUAAACCCAGGCAUUCAGCCCGCCAGAGAAUUACGAGUGAAAAACUCAAAACUCAAAGGACUUGACGGUGUCCCACACCAACCUAGAGGAGCCUGUCCUAUAAUCGAUACCCCACGCUAAACCUCCCCCCACCUAGAAUAACCAGCCUAUAUACCGCCGUCACCAGCCUACCUACCAACAGAAACUAAAGUAAGCACAAAAGUAUUCACUACUAAUACGUCAGGUCAAGGUGUAGCUAACGGUGGGGCAGAGAUGGGCUACAUUUUCUAACCACCAGAAAUCCCACCGUAGGUUAUAUGAAAUAUCAAACUGAAAGGCGGAUUUAGCAGUAAAUUUGGACAAGUAGAGCCCAAUUGAAACCAGCCCUGGGACGCGUACACACCGCCCGUCACCCUCCUCAACACCAAAUAAAACCAAUACAUAAAUCACAACAACACCAUCAGAUGAGGCAAGUCGUAACAUGGUAAGCCCACCGGAAGGUGGGCUUGGCCCA